rnacentral:lncRNA from 1 species
GUGAGAGCAGCAGGAGGAGCCGGGACUGCACUGGGGCAGACCAAUAAAUCGACUGAGUGACUUCUGCCCACGGGACGAAUCCUGUCACACCUACCGGCGGCGCUGCACCGGGGAAUUGUGGGUAAUGGGAGAUUAUUCUGCCCCAUAGUGUUUGCUCAUCAUCACUGCCAUCCACGGUUCCCCAGUCUCCACCGGCAGGCACUCACAGACAUAACCAUACACACACGUGUGCUAUACUGGCUCGCUCUCAUAGACCUCUUUCAUAUCCGCAUGCAGAUGGAGCUCAGAGGCAGGUGUUCGCUCUACACACAGUCGGUUCUAAGGUUCCCUUUUGCCUGAGGACACCAAUCUGUCUGCAGCAUAUCGUCCACGCGCCGGAGCAGAACGCCGUGUGUCUGUGGCUCUGUCCUGUUCGCCCCGGGGCAGCGGUGACCACUGGACUGGACGGGUGGUCCCAGCAGGGGAGCGGCGCACUCACUUUAACAUGGGGGAAUUAGAGUCAUUACAACAGAAGGGCAUCGGAGGACGAGUCCUUCGCCGGGCAGAGGAGGGACGAGCAUUAGGAGUGUAUCAGAUCCAUCACAGACAUGUUUAAAUCAGACGCUUGUAAAACAUCAGAGCAAGGGCACAAUUAAACAGUUCAUUAUAUCUUCUGAUUGCCAUUAUCAUGAAUGGAAAGUUUAGGCACAGGUCAGUAUUAUGGAAACUCAUGAGUCUCCAAUGGAUUUUACAUAGAUUUGUAAGAAUAAUGGCAUGGCUUAUGUUUGAUGGAUUUCAUACACAGAAUCUCUAAAUGUAUUGAUGGACUUUGACUAAAUUAGAUAUUGCCUUGAGCAGGGCAUUGACAGAAACCAGAAUCUUUGUGUGACAAAAGUGGCACUCAGCCACUGUAAUGGCUUUUCCCUGUGUAUUUCCUGCUGAAAAGUAUAAUCCGUGUCAUGAGAGGGACUAAGGCACCAAUGCAAUGUUUUACUGCUCGACGGCGGAUGGGAUUCAGGAGACACUGCACGUCUCUUUUAUCAUCUUAUUCAUAUUGUAGCACUUCCAUAAAAAUGAAACAUGAUAUGAUUCGGUUUUACUCCUGCUAUAGAUAACAAUAUUACACCCGACUUUUUUCAGUGCCACACAACUGAAUCUCAUUAUAACCACACUGUGUUAACAAAAGAAGUGUCUAAUUUUCCAUGAUUUUCUGUGCAUAUUAAGAAUCCAAUUUAAACCUGUUUUUUGUUUUAAACCAAAUUUAUCCCCCAUUUGACCCCAAAAGUAGGAGCUGUAAGUGGUUUCUUAUAAGUCGAAAUGACCACGUCUUUGAGCAUCGGUCAAAUCAUUAAUUCAGUGCUGGACCAGUACGUAUUUCAUUAUCUUUGACAGAGCAGCGUGCAGAGCUAAAACCCAAGCAUUUCAACCGCAAUUAUAUGCUUUUGAAUAAGGUCAGGAAGCAAAUUAGAGGGUGAAUCGGUCGCUCGCACAUUUUAAGUACUGUGCAUAAGUCUUGAAGUAGUUUUAAGAAAGUCCACAAACAAAUAGCAAAAAAAAAUGUAAGAAAAUGAUUUAGAAUUGCAAAGACAUCAGCCAAGGCACUGUCUUAUAUCUCACAAUGAUAAAUAUGAUAGAGCAGAGUAUCCUCCCAGGUUUGAUUCUCAGAUGAUGACAUGGAGUUU